rnacentral:rRNA from 1 species
AUUGAACGCUGGCGGCAGGCCUAACACAUGCAAGUCGAGCGGAUGAAGGGAGCUUGCUCCUGGAUUCAGCGGCGGACGGGUGAGUAAUGCCUAGGAAUCUGCCUGGUAGUGGGGGAUAACGUCCGGAAACGGGCGCUAAUACCGCAUACGUCCUGAGGGAGAAAGUGGGGGAUCUUCGGACCUCACGCUAUCAGAUGAGCCUAGGUCGGAUUAGCUAGUUGGUGGGGUAAAGGCCUACCAAGGCGACGUUCCGUAACUGGUCUGAGAGGAUGAUCAGUCACACUGGAACUGAGACACGGUCCAGACUCCUACGGGAGGCAGCAGUGGGGAAUAUUGGACAAUGGGCGAAAGCCUGAUCCAGCCAUGCCGCGUGUGUGAAGAAGGUCUUCGGAUUGUAAAGCACUUUAAGUUGUGAGGAAGGGCAGUAAGUUAAUACCUUGCUGUUUUGACGUUACCAACAGAAUAAGCACCGGCUAACUUCGUG